AUUGAACGCUGGCGGCAUGCUUUACACAUGCAAGUCGAACGGUAACAGGCCGCAAGGUGCUGACGAGUGGCGAACGGGUGAGUAAUGCAUCGGAACGUGCCCUGUCGUGGGGGAUAACUACUCGAAAGAGUAGCUAAUACCGCAUACGAUCUAUGGAUGAAAGCGGGGGACCGUAAGGCCUCGCGCGAUUGGAGCGGCCGAUGUCAGAUUAGGUAGUUGGUGGGGUAAAGGCUCACCAAGCCAACGAUCUGUAGCUGGUCUGAGAGGACGACCAGCCACACUGGGACUGAGACACGGCCCAGACUCCUACGGGAGGCAGCAGUGGGGAAUGUUGGACAAUGGGGGCAAGCCUGAUCCAGCAAUGCCGCGUGCAGGAAGAAGGCCUUCGGGUUGUAAACUGCUUUUGUACGGAGCGAAACGGCUCUGGUUAAUACCCGGGGCUAAUGACGGUACCGGAAGAAUAAGCACCGGCUAACUACGUG
rnacentral:rRNA from 1 species